rnacentral:rRNA from 1 species
AGAGUUUGAUCAUGGCUACAGAACGAACGCUGGCGGCAGGCCUAACACAUGCAAGUCGAACGCUCCGCAAGGGGAGUGGCAGACGGGUGAGUAACACGUGGGAACCUUCCCAUCGCUACGGAAUAGCUCAGGGAAACUUGGGGUAAUACCGUAUACGCCCGAAAGGGGAAAGAUUUAUCGGCGAUGGAUGGGCCCGCGGCUGAUUAGCUAGUUGGUGAGGUAAACGGCUCACCAAGGCGACGAUCAGUAGCUGGUCUGAGAGGACGACCAGCCACACUGGGACUGAGACACGGCCCAGACUCCUACGGGAGGCAGCAGUGGGGAAUAUUGGACAAUGGGCGCAAGCCUGAUCCAGCCAUGCCGCGUGAGUGACGAAGGUCUUCGGAUUGUAAAGCUCUUUUGGCGGGGACGAUAAUGACGGUACCCGCAGAAUAAGCCCCGGCUAACUUCGUG